UAUUUUAGUCUCGUUAGAGGAACCUGUUUUAUAAUCGAUAAACCACGUAUAUCUUACUUAUUUUAAAUAAUUUGUAUACCGUCAUUAUUAGAUAACUUUCAAAAAAUUAGUUAUUAAAAUUAAAUAAAAUUAAAUAUAUUAGAUCAAGGUGCAGUUAAUAAAUAAGAAAAAAUGGGUUACAAUAAAAAUUUAUUUAAAACGAAUUAUAUAAAUGUAAAAAUAUAUGAAGGAGGAUUUAAUUGUAAUUUUUUUAUAAAAUAAUAAUAUGAUAAUAGCUCUAAAAUAU
rnacentral:rRNA from 1 species